GCUGGCUAUGAUGACACACUUGCCCUCACUGAGAGGAUUGCCUCGAUAAUGAGAAUUCUUAUGUACUCUUCUGAGCCAAC